UACGAAGGGGGCUAGCGUUGUUCGGAAUCACUGGGCGUAAAGCGCACGUAGGCGGACUUUUAAGUCAGGGGUGAAAGCCUGAGGCUCAACCUCAGAACUGCCCUUGAUACUGGGAGUCUUGAGUAUGGUAGAGGUUGGUGGAACAGCAAGUGUAGAGGUGAAAUUCGUAGAUAUUUGCUAGAACACCAGUGGCGAAGGCGGCCAACUGGACCAUAACUGACGCUGAGGAGCGAAAGCGUGGGGAGCGAACAGG
rnacentral:rRNA from 1 species